AGAGGGUGCGAGCGUUAAUCGGAAUGACUGGGCGUAAAGGGCACGUAGGCGGCAGCUCAAGUUAGAUGUGAAAUACCAGGGGCUCAACCUUGGGGCGGCAUCUGAGACUGAGUUGCUAGAGUUUAUUAGAGGGGAGCGGAAUUUCCGGUGUAGCGGUGAAAUGCGUAGAUAUCGGAAGGAACACCAGUUGCGAAGGCGGCUCUCUGGGAUUGAACUGACGCUAAGGUGCGAAAGCGUGGGUAGCGAACAGGAUUAGAUACCCUGGUAGUCCACGCUGUAAACGAUGAGAACUAGCUGUUGGGACGCGACGACGUUUUAGUAGCGCAGCAAACGCGAUAAGUUCUCCGCCUGGGGAGUACGGCCGCAAGGCUA
rnacentral:rRNA from 1 species